UGCUCUAUUUCUCAUCUCCACUUCCUCCUUCCAACAAAUUCCCUAUUUUGACUCUCAGAAUUCCAAAAUUCCAAGAUCAUCUGAAGUUUCAACCUUUCACAAACAAGAUUUGAAACCCAAUUCCAAAAUCAUAUAAAGUUUCAAUCUUUACAAUCAAGAUUCAAACCCAGUUCACAGAAUCGUCUUUUGUUUUUUACUGUACUUGUUUGCCCUUGAAAAAGAAUUUGGGGGGAAAACUUAAGUGGUUACUAAAUAUGUUUUGGUUGUCGUCGUUAUGAUGUUUUCUUUCUUUCUGUAGGCAGUGUUCCUGGUGAAACUGGUAGAAGCUAAAAAGGUUACAGCCUCAGUGCGCAGCUCUUUGAAAUCCAUUUCUGGUAAUCCUUCUGGUGAGCAGCUAGCCUUAAGGCACUGUUUUGUUUUGGAAGAUCCACCAAAUGAUAGGAAGAUAUCAUCUGAUUCAGAUAGACCUACUAAUGGAUCAGUUGAUCCAGAAGAUAAGAAAGAUGAGGAUGACAAUGUUGAAAUACAGAAAGAGAAAAAGUUGACAUCAGUUAUUGAUGAGAAGAGUUUGUCAAUUGGAGAAGAUAAAGAGACAAGGUGAAACAAACAUUGACAAAAAGUGCGAAGAGCAGGAUGGUGAAAACAAUUAAAAGAAAAAUGAAAAGGAACUUGAAGAAGCGACACAUUUGGUUUCUACAAGUGACAAAAGUCAGGAGAAAUCUGAUACUUCAAAACAAUCUGGUGCAAUUCCUACUGACAAAGAAGGGAAAUCUAUAUCACUUAAAGAGCCAGAUGAUGCAGGCUUGGCAGUGGGACAGAAUCUUUAACCAACACACACACAAAAACUAAUAUUGAUUCGUUUGGUGUUAAUAUUGAUGGUUAAUUUGUAACCAACACAAAAAUGGUGGAGGCUGGUGGGAGUUUACACUGGUGGUAGAUGAUGGCAGCGUGAUGAUGCAUUGUUUUCAUAUCGGUAGCGAUGGUGCGGCGGUGGAGAUAGAGAAGAGAGAGUGAAGAGAUGGAGAAGAGAGAAGAUGGAAAAGGUGGAAAUUUAAAAUUUACCUCAUUUUAAUUUUUACUUUUUUUAAUUCUCAAUUUAAAUUUUUUAUUUUUUUAAUAUUUAAUUUCUUAUGUGGCAGUUUAAAAAUGAUGUGGAAUUUAAUGUAAUAUUUAAAAUGACGUGGAAGCUAACGUGGGGCGAGUGUGUUACACUCAACAAAAGAGUGUUUAAAAUGCUAUUUUUUAGUGGGUUUAAGGGUCCAAAUGACAAACAUAUAAGUAGGAGUAUCCAUAUUACAACACGGACAUAGUACAAGAGUUCAUCGAGCUAUUUUGCAAUAUUGAUAUUGUGUAUGUUCAAAAUCAUGAACCUGAAUGACUAUACUACUGCAUAAAUGCAACUCUAAUUGAAGAAUCCAAUAAAAUUUUAUUCAGCAACUAGUUGAGCAUAAGGAAAACUCUAUUUAUAUUUCUACAAUUCUUUUCUUUCUUCUUCCUAUGCAAAUGUAAAGAAGGAAAGCGAUUCCACUUCAGACACAAAUUACCAGUAAUAGAAAUAGCCACCAGCGGAGGUGAAUGGGCCAGAGCUCCAAGUCCAACAGUAUGACCACUAUGCAGGCUACCCAACGGAGGCAAGUACUUUGUAAAUCAACAGGGUAAAUUAUGAAACAAGGCAGAACAAAAAAAGUUGGACAGAGCCACAUAGGACUGAAAUGAAAACAAACAAGUGCAAAGCCAAUGAUUUACCUAUGCAAAGACAAGAGGGAUUUGCUCGGAUAGUAAGCACUCAAUACUUCCAACCUUGAGGUUGUAAGUUCGAGUCACCAACGGAGCAAAAAGUGCGGGAGCUCCUAGGGAGGGGUAAAAAAAAAAUAUGUAUAAAAAGUGUUAUUGUAGUUAUCACAAGAAUCAAGAUUCCUGGAUUACAGUUCAAUGUGGGUUGCACUUCUUUCGAGCUGCCCAAAGAUAGGUUUUCAGAAAAUUGUUGUUUCUAUUGAAGACGAAAGAAAACUAGUGUCGAGAUAGAAGCUAUGAAGUGCCACCAAUUUCGACGUGUUGGAACACAACUUGUAAUGAAAUAAGCCUUAUAUUACAGCAUAUUUAUGUUAGCAUUCAAUGUUUAUAUGUAAACGGAUCUCUUUGAGCA